CUUGAACGCUGGCGGCAGGCCUAACACAUGCAAGUCGAGCGAGCGGCGGACGGGUGUGUAGUGUAUGGGGCUCUGCCCGAUAGAGGGGGAUAAAUACUGGAAAAGGUGGCUAAUACCGCAUACUAUCGGUUGAACCAAUAUGGGCUUCGCUAGUAGGUGGGGUAAAGGCUCACCUCGGCGACGAUCUAUAUCUGGUCUGAGAGGAUGAUCAGCCAAACUGGGACUGAGACACGGCCCAGACUCCUACGGGAGGCAGCAGUGGGGAAUAUUGCACAAUGGGCGCAAGCCUGAUGCAGCCAUGCCGCGUGUAUGAAGAAGGCCUUAGGGUUGUAAAGUACUUUCAGCGGGGAGGCGUUACCCGCAGAAGAAGCACCGGCUAACUCCGUGCCAGCAGCCGCGGUAAUUC
rnacentral:rRNA from 1 species